rnacentral:lncRNA from 1 species
CGCUUUCUUCCUCGCCUUUAUAAGUUUUCCUUGGAAUAAUAAGGUUCCUAUGGAACUAUCAAGCUCAUCACAAUGACAAAUAUGAACUUAUAUCAUACAAGUUUCUACAGAUGAUAAAGUUUUACAUGAGGUUUUGGAAGUCUUUCCUUAAUUUCUUGGCUAUUCCUAUCAUUAGCAUUUAAGGAUAAAUAUCUUCGCUUGGAAUGCUGGACUCGAAGAGCUUCGAGGAAUUAUGUAAGAUUGCUAUUUUUGGACUUAUAUGGACCUCUUUCUAAUAUGUGAUGUUUAUUUUCUUUUCAAAUUUCAGUUAUAAUAACUUUUUUUGGAUGUGCCCCUCGAUUUUGAUGUAGUAAAUCCCAUAUUUUUUCCACUAAUCUGAAUCCUAAUACUUUUAUAUGAUUCUGCAGGAUAAGCCUUGACAAUUGUUGAAAUUGACUACUCUGGAAUUGAUCAUCUGAGAGUCUUUUUGCCAAAGUGUUUUUGGAUUAUGCUUAAUAGGAGUUUGAGAGGAUAUUUUAAAUAUGUAGCUACAUAUAUUUUCUUUCUAACUACGUGUAGUAUCAUAUAGUUCGUUUAUGCACUUGUCACUCAAACAACAGUGGAACUAUAUUUAUUCAGUCUACCCUUUUCCGACG